rnacentral:rRNA from 1 species
UACGUAGGUGGCAAGCGUUGUCCGGAUUUACUGGGCGUAAAGAGCGCGCAGGCGGUCGUCCAAGUCGCGUGUGAAAGCCCCCGGCUCAACUGGGGAGGGUCACGCGAUACUGGUCGACUCGAAGGCAGGAGAGGGUAGUGGAAUUCCCGGUGUAGUGGUGAAAUGCGUAGAUAUCGGGGAGGAACACCAGUGGCGAAGGCGACUACCUGGCCUGUUCUUGACGCUGAGGCGCGAAAAGCUAGGGGAGCAAACGGGG